AGAGUUUGAUCAUGGCUCAGAGCGAACGCUGGCGGCGUGGAUAAGACAUGCAAGUCGAGCGGGAAUCGGCGGGUAGCAAUAUUCGCUGGUUCUAGCGGCGAAAGGGUGCGUAACACGUAGCUCACCUACCUCGAAGUGGGGGAUAAUCCCGCGAAAGCGGGACUAAUACCGCAUGUGACCGUGAGGUUAAAACCGGGGAUCGCAAGACCUGGUGCUUCGAGAUGGGGCUGCGGCCUAUCAGCUAGUUGGCGGGGUAACGGCCCACCAAGGCAAAGACGGGUAGCUGGUCUGAGAGGACGACCAGCCACACUGGAACUGAGACACGGUCCAGACACCUACGGGUGGCAGCAGUCGAGGAUUUUUCUCAAUGGGCGAAAGCCUGAAGGAGCGACGCCGCGUGGGGGAUGAAGGUCUUCGGAUUGUAAACCCCUGUCAUCCGGGAACAAUGAUCACGGCCCAACACGUCGUGAUUUGAUCGUACCGGAAGAGGAAGCCGUGGCUAACUCUGCGCCAGCAGCCGCGGUAAUACAGAGACGGCAAGCGUUGCUCGGAUUUAUUGGGCGUAAAGGGUGCGUAGGCGGUCGGCCAAGUCGGAUGUGAAAGCUCAUGGCCUAACCAUGAUAGGUCAUUCGAAACUAGCCGGCUCGAGGGCUGGAGAGGAGACCGGAAUUGUCGGUGUAGCGGUGAAAUGCGUAGAGAUCGACAAGAACACCAGUAGCGAAGGCGGGUCUCUGGACAGUUCCUGACGCUGAGGCACGAAAGCCAGGGGAGCAAACGGGAUUAGAUACCCCGGUAGUCCUAGCCGUAAACGAUGAGCACUAGGUUGAGGGGACCUCCACAUCCCCCCGGCCGUAGCGAAAGUGUUAAGUGCUCCGCCUGGGGAGUAUGGUCGCAAGGCUGAAACUUAAAGGAAUUGACGG
rnacentral:rRNA from 1 species